rnacentral:sRNA from 1 species
UCGUAGGCCUGCUGCGGGCAGAUCAGAUGGAUGUGCGAAUCAAAUCCACCCGCCGUGACGAUGUUGCCUUCGGCGGCGAUCACGUCCGUGCCGCUGCCAACGACCAGGUUGGGGUGUACGCCAUCCAUGACGUCGGGGUUGCCAGCCUUGCCGAUGGCUGAGAUGACCCCGUGCUUGAUGCCAAUGUCUGCUUUGUAGAUGCCUGACCAGUCGACGAUCAGCGCGUUGGUGAUGACCGUGUCCAGGACUUCCGAGUCUGGACGGCCCGAUGCCUGGCCCAUUCCUUCACGA